rnacentral:rRNA from 1 species
CGCAUCUGUGCAUGCAGCAUAUCAAUAAGCGGAGGAAAAGAAACUAACAAGGAUUCCCCUAGUAACGGCGAGUGAAGCGGGAAGAGCUCAAAUUUGAAAUCUUAAAGGGUUUCCCUUUACGAAUUGUAGUUUAAAGAAGUGUUUUCUGUUGAGGUUUUGGUAAAAGUUCUUUGGAAUAGGACAUCAUAGAGGGUGAGAAUCCCGUAUUUGACCUUUACUUUCAACUUUGUGAUACACUUUCAAAGAGUCGGAUUGUUUGGGAAUGCAGUCCAAAAUGGGUGGUAAAUUUCAUCUAAAGCUAAAUAUUGGCGAGAGACCGAUAGCGAACAAGUACCAGUGAGGGAAAGAUGAAAAGAACUUUGAAAAGAGAGUUAAACAGUACGUGAAAUUGUCAAAAGGGAAGCGUUUGACACCAGUGUUGUUUUUCUGAAAAUCAAUUAAAGAACUGUUUAUGCUAAGUUGUUUAGACUUUAUCAGCUAACUGUUUAGUUUUGAGCUUUUCUUUAAUGCACUUUUCAGUUAACAAGUCAACAUCAAUUUCUUUUGCUGUAAAAAAGCUUGAGGAAGGUGGCUUGAGAUUCGUCUUAAGUGUUUAUAGCCUCUUGCCUAUGCAGUCGGAGAGAUUGAGGUCUGCAGCGUAGAUCCUUCGGGGCUAAAUGCAUUUGUGCUAAGUUAUAGCAUUUUAUAGACAACUUGUUGACUAUGAUUUGUCUUGUAGCUUACUCGCUUAUGCUAUUUUACCUACGCUUAGGAUGUUGACAGCAGUAUAGACUG